rnacentral:rRNA from 1 species
GACGAACGCUGGCGGCGUGCUUAACACAUGCAAGUCGAACGCUGAAGCUUGGUGCUUGCACUGGGUGGAUGAGUGGCGAACGGGUGAGUAAUACGUGAGUAACCUGCCCUUGACUCUGGGAUAAGCCUGGGAAACUGGGUCUAAUACUGGAUACGACAUGUCACCGCAUGGUGGCGUGUGGAAAGGGUUUUACUGGUUUUGGAUGGGCUCACGGCCUAUCAGCUUGUUGGUGGGGUAAUGGCUCACCAAGGCGACGACGGGUAGCCGGCCUGAGAGGGUGACCGGCCACACUGGGACUGAGACACGGCCCAGACUCCUACGGGAGGCAGCAGUGAGGAAUAUUGCACAAUGGGCGAAAGCCUGAUGCAGCGACGCCGCGUGAGGGAUGACGGCCUUCGGGUUGUAAACCUCUUUCAGCACGGAAGAAGCGAAAGUGACGGUACGUGCAGAAGAAGCGCCGGCUAACUACGUG